UCACUUUCAGCGAUUGAACCAAUGGAAUCCAUCUUUUCUCCUCCUUUGCGCUUCUUCUAAAACAGACUCACCUACGUGCCGUGUCAGAUUUUUCAAGACGUUGUCUUCUGUCUGGCACCUCCUUUGAGACUUGGUCAAUCUAGUUUCAGUCUGAAUUGAUCCAAUAUCCUAAAACUUUUUUCCUUCGCAGUCUUCGGUCCUAGCUCUAGUUCCUUACUCCACCUUGUGUCCCCAAGUAUUCGGAACCCCAACCAAGUCCCUCGAAGUCCUAGACACCCGAACCUCAAGCCCAUAGAGGGCAACACACCGCUUCCAUUCUAAGACCACUCCUGUCCUAGCCCUAGGACUCAAACCUGUCCUAGUCUCCCGGAGCCAACAUCCUAACUCCUCCUGUGGCCUUCCAAGGCUUGGGAGUAUCACACCAACUUCUACAAUCUUCAUCUUGGUGCGGCCAAAUCUUGGCAUAUCCGACAAUAUCCUCCUGCAUGAUCCCACUGUCGCUACAUACCUUAACAGCCCCUUGUGCGAACAUCCUUGCCUUCGCCAACCCUCUUCAGCUGUUGAGCUCUCUUUGAGGCCUUUGGGAUGACUGCCUCCAUCGCUGAAGAUCCUUGUUUGCUCCUUUGCACCAUCUUAAAGUUUUUUGUAGGCAUCUUUCUGCUUGACAGCCGCAUCAACUGUUACCCUGGACUUCUGUAGAGAAAUCGCAGCAUUUUUUACCGACACUUGCUGCAACUGACGCACCUGAUACGGUCUCCCCAGAGCCACGCCUCUCUAUCUGCACACUCCGCUCUACCUGGCUCUGUAUAGUCCUGGCGCUGGUGCUAGGAUAUCGCUCCUCUUACAUCUCUCCGCUCUGAACACGUGCCAAAAUCUCCUCCACCUGUGAAGAUACCUCCGUAAUGCUCCACCUGAAUUCAAAGUCCCCCUGAUGCCACAGAAACUGACUCUGUAUCCGAGUCACUCGAGGCCAACUAUCCAACGCUAUCCUGCUGGGUCUAUCGCUGCACCUCGAAUACUGUCGCUGCCCCUUCGGACCUUCCGCACUCCGCAGAUCCCUCCGAAGAUGUCUCGGAUACACCACACCCCGCGGGCUCCUCCGAAAAUAUCAAGAGCUCAUCCGACUCUUCACUUUCAGCGAUUGAACCAAUGGAAUCCAUCUUUUCUCCUCCUUUGCGCUUCUUCUAAAACAGACUCACCUACGUGCCGUGUCAGAUUUUUCAAGACACUGUCUUUUGUCUGGCACCUCCUCUAAGACUUGGUCAAUCUAGUUUUAGUCUGAGUCGAUCCAAUAUCCUAAAAUUUUUUUUCUUUGCAAUCUUCAGUCCUAGCUCUAGUU
rnacentral:lncRNA from 1 species